rnacentral:rRNA from 1 species
UUAAAUCAUUAAAUUGAAAAAAUUUGGCGGUAUUUUAAAAAAUUAGAGGAAUUUGUAGUGUAAAUGAUGAGACACGAUAAGAUAAACUUUUAAAUUUAUGUAUUGCUGUUUUAAAUAAUUUAUUAAAUAAAUUUUGUAAUAUUAAAAAAAUAGGAAUUCAAGUCAAAAUGUAGUAUUUUAAAGUUAUGAAUUACAAUUUUUUAAGGAAAAUGGAUUUAAAAGUAA